UUUUUAGAGAGAUGCCUCNAUCAUUAAUCCUCCACUAUCUAAAGUGAGUCUGAUCCUUGACUAAACUGAGAGCCAGAGAUGUGUCAGCACAUCCGAGUUCAUAAUCUCCCCCUUUACUACCGUCCCUACUGUCUAAUCACUGAUUCAGCCACCCCCCGACACACACACACACACACACCGUCUGCCCUGCUCUAACACACACACAAGCCUGUUUCUUCUUCUCUUUAGACACAUUUUAAAUUGCUUCUAGGACAAUAUGUGUAAUGAAAGUGAAAUCAUAAUAUAGAAAUGUUCCUAUAAAUAAAACAUACCCCCGUCAUCUUAAACCAGUAUACAACCGCAGACUUUAAGUAAUGUAUAUAGUUUUCUCUCUAAGCCACAAAGAGUAAAAUAACAUGCACAUAAUUAAAUUUACAUUCUUUUUUUUUUUUUUAGAGAGAUGCCUCCUGACUACAGCCAGUGCAGAGAAGAGAGCAGAAAACCACAGUAUUUUAAGAGCAAAGCCAUCAUGCCCUGUGGCCAAACAUCAGUUUUGCAUCUUGAUUAAAACAUCACAAAUAAUGACUGCGUGGCUAAUAGAUUCAGUGUCUGUACUCCAUCACUUCAGUGUUGUUUCUUUCUGUGUUAAACUGUCUACUUGCAGCGAAAAGCUCUUUUUUUACACUGUUGUUGCAAAGCUGCAAUUAAAACACUAAAGCUCUGUAGUGUAAUGUUUAUUGUGCCUAAUUUUGAACAACUGAAAUUUACAAUGGUUUACACAUGUAUUGUACUCCCUGGAAUUCAACCUGACAAAAUAUAAAAGCUUUUUCACAAAGUCCUUUUUGGCAUUUAAAAAAAAAAAUAAAAAAUGGCCUUAUUUUAGUUUACUCCACAUGGAAGCACCAUCAUUGUUAAUAAACAGUAGCUUUGCUUUAGUAAGUAUACUCCCCAACCAGAAUUCAUUUUGCUUUUGGUGUGAAAAUUUCACAAUGAUAUGUUUCAAGGAAACACAAUAUCCUCUAGUGUAUGUAUAACCACACAAGGCGUUUACACCACAAGUACUACUUGUAUAUCUAAACAAAAAAAGAGAACAGAACAUUCAAUUAACAAAUGAAAUCCAAUGUGACAUUUUAGAGCGUUACAUUUCAUAUUGGGUCUGAAAUCAACAUGGAGUGUAGGAGGAACAUUGGGUUAUUUUGCAAACACAAGCAUAAUCAGAAGAUGGAUCAAAGACUUGAGCAUCAAUAAAAGAUGCAUGACUACCGACUGUUCACAGGUUAAGUCUCCAGACACAGCAUGCACUUAUAAAUGAGUGAUGACCAUUUGUUGUUGUUCAGGCUGAUACAUUCAUACCGACACCUAAAGUACAUAUUUGAAUAAAUAUAUUAGUAUCUGUUUUAAAACUAACUGUACAUGGGCUAUGGUGUAGUAAAAUACUUUUCAGUGAGUAAAAAGGCUCUGUAAAUGCAAGUUUUUAAAAAAAAUACCCCUUCAGUAAGUCUAAAAUAUCUUAUUCACUUCCCUGUAAAAAUGUCUUUAGACAUUAGAAAUCAUCUCUGUAUAAAUUUUAGGAAAAUAGUGGAAUAAAGUCAUUUUAAAUCUCAUGACAAGCUUAUAAAACAGUUGAAAUAGGAAGAAUUUUGACCAAUGAGAAAUUAUCAUCAAGUGAACACUGCUUCAUAGCUCCUUUACGCCAUAAACUUCCACCAUCAUCGUUUUCAUUCUCAUUAUUUUCUACAUUUGUUUAGAUGGUAACUGCAGAAUAUUCCACAUUUCUCACAUCUACUGUGAUUAUAUAUAUCAAUAUCAACAUGUGGCAAACGAACAAGUGGCAAGUUAUAAGCAGUACCAAAAUAUUUGGGACACAAUUUUCAAGAUCUACUACUUUAGUUACUAACUCUAAAGCCAGUUCCAGAAAUAUUUGGCAACAUCCGUUGUUAAUCUGCUUACUGGUUACCCCAGUAUGAAUAAAAAUACCUUUACAUCAAAGCUUUUAGACAGAAAAACAGCAUGUGUUAGUUUCCGAAUACUUAUGAACAGAGAACUAGGCUAAAAUGACAAAUCACUGUAAUUCUUUAAUGCACGAUCCAUCUGAAAAUGAAGCUUCCCCUGUGGCUGGUCAUUAUUUCUGCAGGAUCCUUUAGGAGUGUUAUGUUGGUAACUCUUCAUGUUAUAAAACUCAUCAGAAUCACCAUUUUUUUAUUCUUUGGAAACAACCAUUUUAGUACUGCAGUUCCCAAAUCACUUCUCCAACAGGUGGAUCCUUGUAGAAGCCCUCAGUGGAGUUUGGGAUCCUGCCCACACAUUGAACUACUUAAAAUAAUGGAUGUUAAGUCCUGGUCCUGGGGCUCUGACCAUUCUGCACAGUUUAGUUCCAACUCUACACACUAGAACCAGAUAAUCAAGUUCUUUGGAAAUCAAUGGAAGGAUUAUUAAAGCAACAAAACUCCACAGGAAGGUUGAUCACCAAGACAGAACAAAAAGCAUCUCGAGUCUAAAGCCAGGUGUAGAAAUAUAUUAAAUCUCCUGAGUGAUGUGCUCAUACUGCUGUGAACUGACAUCUUGAAGGCUGUUAGACAAUAACUAAGGAAAUCAUGACAGACACCUGUCAUUCGCUAACUAUCACCACAGUCAUGAGCAAGAACCUGCUCUCCAGCAAACGCAUCUCAAGGGCAGUUUCACAGCUUGCGGUCGCACCUUCUAGGAAUUGUCCUUCAGCAUACUGGACUCCAGUUACGCGAUAAUCCAC
ensembl:lncRNA